CCCAAGAGAUCGGAUAACACCUGGAAACAGAUGCUAAUACCGGAUAACAACAGAUGAUGCCUAUCAACUGUUUAAAAGAUGGUUCUGCUAUCACUCUUGGAUGGACCUGCGGUGCAUUAGCUAGUUGGUAGGGUAACGGCCUACCAAGGCGAUGAUGCANAGCCCGAGUUGAGAGACUGAUCGGCCACAUUGGGACUGAGACACGGCCCAAACUCCUACGGGAGGCAGCAGCG
rnacentral:rRNA from 1 species